AAAGGGUUUCAUAUCUAAGGGUUGUGAUAGGCNCCAGUCUUUUGGGUAUGAAACCCAUUUGGGCGAGAGUAGUACUAGGAUGGGUGACCUCCUGGGAAGUCCUCGUGAAAGGGUUUC
rnacentral:rRNA from 1 species